rnacentral:rRNA from 1 species
UACAGAGGGUGCGAGCGUUAAUCGGAAUUACUGGGCGUAAAGCGUGCGUAGACGGUUACGUAAGUCGGGUGUGAAAGCCCCGGGCUCAACCUGGGAAUUGCAUUCGAGACUGCGAAGCUAGGGUGCGGAAGAGGGAAGCGGAAUUUCCGGUGUAGCGGUGAAAUGCGCAGAUAUCAGGAGGAACACCGGUGGCGAAGGCGGGUCUCUGGGCCGUUACUGACGCUGAGGAGCGAAAGCGUGGGGAGCGAACAGG